rnacentral:rRNA from 1 species
UGGGAGCUCUCCCAUAUGGUCGACCUGCAGGCGGCCGCGAAUUCACUAGUGAUUAGAGUUUGAUCAUGGCUCAGAACGAACGCUGGCGGCAGGCUUAACACAUGCAAGUCGAACGGGCGUAGCAAUACGUCAGUGGCGGACGGGUGAGUAACACGUGGGAAUAUGCCUUUCGGUUCGGAACAACUCGGGGAAACUCGUGCUAAUUCCGGAUACGCCCUUACGGGGAAAGAUUUAUCGCCGAAAGAUUGGCCCGCGUCUGAUUAGCUAGUUGGUGAGGUAACGGCUCACCAAGGCGACGAUCAGUAGCUGGUCUGAGAGGAUGAUCAGCCACAUUGGGACUGAGACACGGCCCAAACUCCUACGGGAGGCAGCAGUGGGGAAUAUUGGACAAUGGGCGCAAGCCUGAUCCAGCCAUGCCGCGUGAGUGAUGAAGGCCCUAGGGUUGUAAAGCUCUUUUGUGCGGGAAGAUAAUGACGGUACCGCAAGAAUAAGCCCCGGCUAACUUCGUGCCAGCAGCCGCGGUAAUACAAUCGAAUUCCCGCGGCCGCCAUGGCGCCCGCAAGCAUGCGACGU